UAAUUUUUAUUUAUUAAUAAAGUUUUGUAAUUUAUUUAUUUAUAUUAAAAAUAAUUAUAUAGUAAUGAGUUUUAGUAUUUUAUAAAGAAAAAAUAAUUUUUAUUAUAGUAAAUUAGUAUUGUGAAAUAAAAUUGAAAUAAUUUGAAAAAUUAAUAAUUUAAAAGAAAAUUUUAUUUAUUGUACCUUGUGUAUCAGGGUUUAUUAAUUAAAAAAUAAUUAUAUUAUUUUUCUCGAUUUUAAAAGAGUUAAUAGAUUAUAUUAGUUUUUGUGGAAAAACAAUUAAUAAUAAUUUAUUAGAAAUGAUAAGUUAAUCGUUUUUAAAGGUAUCUAGUUUUUUAAGAAAUGAAUUUAAUUCAGUUAUUUUAAAUAUAUUAAUUUAAUUAAAUAAAUUUAAUAUUUUAAAAUAGUAAUAUUUUAUGGGAUAAGCUUUAAAAUAUAUAAAUUAAAAAUUAAUUAAUUAAAUUAAUACAUAUAUGCUUAGAAUUAGCAAUUAUUUGUAAUUAUGUUAUAAUUUAUUUUAUAAAAUAAAUUAUUUAAUUUAAUUUUAAUUAUUUAUUAAAAUAUUUAUUUUAAUUAUAAUAAUAAAUUAAUAAUGAUAGAAUUAGUAUAUAUAUAUAUAUUGUGUGGAUAUAUAAAUAUUAAUAAAUUUAUAUAAAGAACUCGGCAAAUAUAAUAUUCGCCUGUUUAUCAAAAACAUGUCCUUUUGAAAUUUAUUUAAGGUCUAAUCUGCCCACUGAUAUUAGUUAAAGGGCCGCGGUAUUUUAACCGUGCAAAGGUAGCAUAAUCAUUAGUUUUUUAAUUGAAGGCUUGUAUGAAUGAUUGGACGAGAUAUUAGCUGUUUCAUAUAAAGUUUAAUAGAAUUUUAUUUUUUAGUUAAAAAGCUAAAAUUUAUAUAAAAGACGAGAAGACCCUAUAGAUCUUAAUAAUUUAUAUAUUUUAUUUAUAUAGAAAUUUUUAAAUAUUAUAUAAAUAAUUAUUUUGUUGGGGUGAUAAUAAAAUUUAAUAAACUUUUAUAUAAAUUUUACAUUAAUUAAUGAAUGAUUGAUCCAUUAUUAGUGAUUAAUAAAUUAAGUUACCUUAGGGAUAACAGCGUAAUUUUUUUAGAGAGUUCAUAUCGAUAAAAAAGAUUGCGACCUCGAUGUUGGAUUAAGAGAUAAAGUUGGGUGUAGAAGUUCAAAUAUUUAGGUCUGUUCGACCUUUAAUUUCUUACAUGAUCUGAGUUCAAACCGGCGUGAGCCAGGUUGGUUUCUAUCUUUAUUUAAUUAUAAUAUUUUAGUACGAAAGGACCAAAUAUUAGAAAUAUUAAUUUUUAUAGAUAUGAUUAUUAUUAAGUUAUUU
rnacentral:rRNA from 1 species